rnacentral:rRNA from 1 species
UACGAAGGGGGCUAGCGUUGUUCGGAAUUACUGGGCGUAAAGCGCACGUAGGCGGAUCGAUCAGUCAGGGGUGAAAUCCCAGGGCUCAACCCUGGAACUGCCUUUGAUACUGUCGAUCUGGAGUAUGGAAGAGGUGAGUGGAAUUCCGAGUGUAGAGGUGAAAUUCGUAGAUAUUCGGAGGAACACCAGUGGCGAAGGCGGCUCACUGGUCCAUUACUGACGGUGAGGUGCGAAAGCGUGGGGAGCAAACAGG